AUUGAACGCUGGCGGCAUGCCUAACACAUGCAAGUCGAGCGGAUGAAGGGAGCUUGCUCCUGGAUUCAGCUGCGGACGGGUGAGUAAUGCCUAGGAAUCUGCCUGGUAGUGGGGGAUAACGUCCGGAAACGGGCGCUAAUACCGCAUACGUCCUGAGGGAGAAAGUGGGGGAUCUUCGGACCUCACGCUAUCAGAUGAGCCUAGGUCGGAUUAGCUAGUUGGUGGGGUAAAGGCCUACCAAGGCGACGAUCCGUAACUGGUCUGAGAGGAUGAUCAGUCACACUGGAACUGAGACACGGUCCAGACUCCUACGGGAGGCAGCAGUGGGGAAUAUUGGACAAUGGGCGAAAGCCUGAUCCAGCCAUGCCGCGUGUGUGAAGAAGGUCUUCGGAUUGUAAAGCACUUUAAGUUGGGAGGAAGGGAAGUAAGUUAAUACCUUGCUGUUUUGACGUUACCAACAGAAUAAGCACCGGCUAACUUCGUG
rnacentral:rRNA from 1 species